rnacentral:rRNA from 1 species
UUAAGCGUGUAGGUGUGUGUUCCAGGUAAAUCCGGUUCACUUUAACACUGAGGCGUGAUGACGAGGCACUACGGUGCUGAAGCAACAAAUGCCCUGCUUCCAGGAAAAGCCUCUAAGCAUCAGGUAACAUCAAAUCGUACCCCAAACCGACACAGGUGGUCAGGUAGAGAAUACCAAGGCGCUUGAGAGAACUCGGGUGAAGGAACUAGGCAAAAUGGUGCCGUAACUUCGGGAGAAGGCACGCUGACACGUAGGUGAAGUGAUUUACUCAUGGAGCUGAAGUCAGUCGAAGAUACCAGCUGGCUGCAACUGUUUAUUAAAAACACAGCACUGUGCAAACACGAAAGUGGACGUAUACGGUGUGACGCCUGCCCGGUGCCGGAAGGUUAAUUGAUGGGGUCAGCGCAAGCGAAGCUCCUGAUCGAAGCCCCGGUAAACGGCGGCCGUAACUAUAACGGUCCUAAGGUAGCGAAAUUCCUUGUCGGGUAAGUUCCGACCUGCACGAAUGGCGUAAUGAUGGCCAGGCUGUCUCCACCCGAGACUCAGUGAAAUUGAACUCGCUGUGAAGAUGCAGUGUACCCGCGGCAAGACGGAAAGACCCCGUGAACCUUUACUAUAGCUUGACACUGAACAUUGAGCCUUGAUGUGUAGGAUAGGUGGGAGGCUUUGAAGUGUGGACGCCAGUCUGCAUGGAGCCGGCCUUGAAAUACCACCCUUUAAUGUUUGAUGUUCUAACGUGGACCCGUGAUCCGGGUUGCGGACAGUGUCUGGUGGGUAGUUUGACUGGGGCGGUCUCCUCCUAAAGAGUAACGGAGGAGCACGAAGGUUGGCUAAUCCUGGUCGGACAUCAGGAGGUUAGUGCAAUGGCAUAAGCCAGCUUGACUGCGAGCGUGACGGCGCGAGCAGGUGCGAAAGCAGGUCAUAGUGAUCCGGUGGUUCUGAAUGGAAGGGCCAUCGCUCAACGGAUAAAAGGUACUCCGGGGAUAACAGGCUGAUACCGCCCAAGAGUUCAUAUCGACGGCGGUGUUUGGCACCUCGAUGUCGGCUCAUCACAUCCUGGGGCUGAAGUAGGUCCCAAGGGUAUGGCUGUUCGCCAUUUAAAGUGGUACGCGAGCUGGGUUUAGAACGUCGUGAGACAGUUCGGUCCCUAUCUGCCGUGGGCGCUGGAGAACUGAGGGGGGCUGCUCCUAGUACGAGAGGACCGGAGUGGACGCAUCACUGGUGUUCGGGUUGUCAUGCCAAUGGCACUGCCCGGUAGCUAAAUGCGGAAGAGAUAAGUGCUGAAAGCAUCUAAGCACGAAACUUGCCCCGAGAUGAGUUCUCCCUGAGACUUUAGGUCUCCUGAAGGAACGUUGAAGACGACGACGUUGAUAGGCCGGGUGUGUAAGCGCAGCGAUGCGUUGAGCUAACCGGUACUAAUGAACCGUGAGGCUUAACCUUACA